CGUGCCUAAUACAUGCAAGUCGAACGCAUUGUGGUUGAAAUGAUAUGAAGAACUUGUUCAGAUUUGAUUUUCAACAUUGCAAUGAGUGGCGAACGGGUGAGUAACACGUGGGAAACCUACCUCUUAGCAGGGGAUAACAUUUGGAAACAAAUGCUAAUACCGUAUAAUAAUUAAAACCGCAUGGUUUUAGUUUAAAAGAUGGUCUUGCUAUCACUAAGAGAUGGUCCCGCGGUGUAUUAGUUAGUUGGUGAGGUAAUGGCUCACCAAGACAAUGAUACAUAGCCGAGUUGAGAGACUGACCGGCCACAAUGGGACUGAGACACGGCCCAUACUCCUACGGGAGGCAGCAGUAGGGAAUCUUCCACAAUGGACGAAAGUCUGAUGGAGCAACGCCGCGUGUGUGAUGAAGGGUUUCGGCUCGCAAAACACUGUUGUAAGAGAAGAAUGACAUUGAGAGUAACUGUUCAAUGUGUGACGGUAUCUUACCAGAAAGGAACGGCUAAAUACGUG
rnacentral:rRNA from 1 species